AUUGAACGCUGGCGGCAUGCCUAACACAUGCAAGUCGAACGGUAACGCGGGGGCAACCCUGGCGACGAGUGGCGGACGGGUGAGUAAUACGUAGGAAUCUGCCCAUUUGUGGGGGAUAACCCGGCGAAAGCCGGGCUAAUACCGCAUACGCUCUACGGAGGAAAGCGGGGGAUCGUAAGACCUCGCGCUAAUGGAUGAGCCUACGUCGGAUUAGCUAGUUGGUAGGGUAACGGCCUACCAAGGCGACGAUCCGUAGCUGGUCUGAGAGGACGAUCAGCCACACUGGGACUGAGACACGGCCCAGACUCCUACGGGAGGCAGCAGUGGGGAAUAUUGGACAAUGGGGGCAACCCUGAUCCAGCAAUGCCGCGUGUGUGAAGAAGGCCUGCGGGUUGUAAAGCACUUUCAGAGGGGAAGAAGAAAUCGGAGCUAACACCUCCGGUCUUGACGUUACCCUUAGAAGAAGCACCGGCUAACUCCGUGCCAGCAGCCGCGGUAAUACGGAGGUGC
rnacentral:rRNA from 1 species